rnacentral:rRNA from 15 species
UGGCGGCAGUAGCGCGGUGGUCCCACCUGACCCCAUGCCGAACUCAGAAGUGAAACGCCGUAGCGCCGAUGGUAGUGUGGGGUCUCCCCAUGUGAGAGUAGGGAACUGCCAGACA